UUCACCAGCGGUGGUGGUGAGGUUGAUUCGAGCGCCUUCAGCAGCCCGGUCCUAGGUGUGUUUACCCCGAAGUAAAGUCCAGUUUUCAGCGGGCCUUACUCAUGGCUGACGACUUUCAUCUUGGCUGUGAAGUUCAUUAAACCUGCAGCAACUUCUUAUAAUGCUAUGAAGUUUGAGAGGAUGACUUGGAGAAAUAUCCUAGAAGCUGGUAGCUGAAAGGGCAGAACUAUCAGACAACAUAACUUAUUUGGCACUGAAUCAGAAAAAGAGAAAGAUGCCAAGUGUCCAUGGUGGGUCGGCCUCAGACAUAAAGUGUGAUACAAACUGAUGGGUUACACCUGCUGUUGAAAGUCAUGUAAAUGGUGUGGUCUUAAAAGUUCACAUACAAAGAUUUCUCCAAUAAUAAAGUGUGAUAAAAUGAA